CAGGAACAACUUUCAUACAGAUAAAAAUGGGAAAGUUGGCCCUGCCCCUGUCAUUUAAUAGCUAAAUGAAAGAUAGCAGACAGGACACUGACCUCUAACCUAGGACCAUACAGGAAGCUCUCUGAUCUCUGAUCACCCACAGGGCAGCAUUUUUGCAUGACCUGCUUAGAGUCAUUUUUCCAGUAAAUAUCACUCCCCAAGUAAACAUACAUUUGUUGUUCAUAAGUUGUUAAUGCAAUAUGUAAUGUAUUUGAGAACCACAUUUUUAUGUUUUAAUUUAACAACAUAUCCUUCCAAACUCAUAAUGGACAGAGCUGUAGGUUGGAUAUUCAAAACUGAAAUUUGAGAUAAGAGCUGAAUACAUGACAAUAAAGCUUAAUGCUCUGCCAUAGUCCAAUAAAAGUAUAUAUAUUAAAAGGAGAGCUACAAAUGUAUUAACCAAAACAUCUCUGAUAGUUAACAAAUUCAUGUUGUUUCAAGGUACAGUAUAUAUUAUCAUAUCACCCAUCACUAAUGGACCACACCUGGAACUGGAUCGCAUUUCAUCCUAACUAAAUAAACUGCUGCAAGCUACAGACGGAAAUCACUUCAUUUCCUUUAAGCUUCUAAAAUACUUUAAGGAAUAUUUUGACAUUUAAUGAAAUGUGCUCAUUCACUUUCUUUUAGAGAGCUAGAUAAGAAGAUUUGAUACCACUUCUGUAUCCGUCCACUGACAGCAGCCGGCUAGUUAAGCUUAGCAUAAAGACCAGGGAAAACAGGGAUCUGUCAGACGUUAACAGAAUCUACCUACUAGCAUCUCUAAUACUUUAAAUCUACUUUAUUUAAUUCAUACAAAAAAAGUAAAAACUGACAAUUGGUGGUUAUACAGAGGGACACGAUCAAGACUGCACAGUGACUCUUUCUGCAGAUAGAUGCAACUUCAUAGUGACAACACAUAAGAAAAUCACUGUGCCCAUGCAAGAUUUUGUUUCCUUUAGACAGAGCCAGGCUAGCUGUUUCCUCAUGUUUUUAGUAGUUAUGCUAAGCUAAGCUGACUGAUGUAGCUUUAUAGUGAAUGGACAGACACAAGAGCUAACUCUCAGCAAGAAAGUGAAAGAGCUUAUUUCCCAAAAUGUCAAAUUAUUGUUUUCAAUGUAGAUACCAAAACUGUGUUGAAGUCAGAAUUUGGGGUUUUGUGAAACCAUUAACUGAACUCUAGAGAAAGGAAAACUGGACUGAGGCUAGAAAAUGAAAAAUGACUCAAGAACCUUUGUUUAUUUAACUAAGAACUUGUGUUUUCUGCAGUACAUUAAUAACUAAAUGCAUACAAAAACCAUAGUCUUACACAUCUUUAUGUAAACUGCUGAUACUAACUGUAUACUACUGUACAUGGACCAAUGGGUGCAGAGAAAUCCCUAAUGGAGGUCACGAGGGGUAUAAAUAAACUCCUAGCACAGGACCGGAUGCGUUUCCAUGGUCCCAGUGCUUCUCAUAAAUAAAAUCAGCUCUAAAUGAA